AUAUCUUAUAGUAUGCCAUGUUCUGCAACCCAAAUUAAAAGAUGAAUAAUAACUCAGAAACAAUUAAUGCACUGAACAAAGGCAUCAAAACGCAUUCAUUAGGCAACAUUUCAAAAAAUUUUGCUUUUUUUCCCUGUGCCUCAAAAAUACAGACCACAUAUUCUAAACUAAACAAUGGAGACAGAAAUCAUAGAUUCUGUACUAAUUGCAAGUUUCAUUGCUAUUUACCAGAAGGGGAUUUAGGAAGAUUAUCAUCUAGAAAUUUAAUGCCCAUUUGGUUCAGCUUUUGGAGCUUGCAGUUCGUGGUUGAAAACUCAACUGUUGGAUAAAACUUGUUUGGUAAACAAAAAACUAAAGCUAGCAGUUG
rnacentral:misc_RNA from 1 species